rnacentral:rRNA from 1 species
UAACGAAUAUUCCGCAAUGCGCGAAAGCGUGACGGAGCAAUGCCGCGUGCAGGAUGAAGCCCUUCGGGGUGUAAACUGCUGUCAGGGUUUAGGAAUCACUGACCAAACCCAAAGGAAGGACCGGCUAACUCUGUGCCAGCAGCCGCGGUAAUGCAGAGGGUCCAAGCGUUGAUCGGAAUCACUGGGCUUAAAGGGUUCGCAGGCAGCUCGGUAAGUAUGUUGUGAAAUCCCACGGCUUAACCGUGGAAUUGCUUCGUAGACUGCCGAGCUUGAGCACGACAGGGGCCAUCAGAACGCUAGGUGGAGCGGUGAAAUGCGUAGAUAUCUAGCGGAAUGCCAAAGGUGAAGACAGAUGGCUGGGUCGUCGCUGACGCUCAGGAACGAAAGCAUGGGUAGCGAACGGGAUUAGAUACCCCGGUAGUCC